UAUGUGAUCGUCUCUCGCAUAUCAAUAAGCGGAGGAAAAGAAACUAACAAGGAUUCCCCUAGUAACGGCGAGUGAAGCGGGAAGAGCUCAAAUUUGAAAUCUUAAAGGGUUUCCCUUUACGAAUUGUAGUUUAAAGAAGUGGUUUUCUGUUGAGGUUUUGGUAAAAGUUCUUUGGAAUAGGACAUCAUAGAGGGUGAGAAUCCCGUAUUUGACCUUUACUUUCAACUUUGUGAUACACUUUCAAAGAGUCGGAUUGUUUGGGAAUGCAGUCCCAAAAUGGGUGGUAAAUUUCAUCUAAAGCUAAAUAUUGGCGAGAGACCGAUAGCGAACAAGUACCGUGAGGGAAAGAUGAAAAGAACUUUGAAAAGAGAGUUAAACAGUACGUGAAAUUGUCAAAAGGGAAGCGUUUGACACCAGUGUUGUUUUUCUGAAAAUCAAUUAAAGAACUGUUUAUGCUAAGCUGUUUAGACUUUAUCAGCUAACUGUUUAGUUUUGAGCUUUUCUUUAAUGCACCUUUCAGUUAACAAGUCAACAUCAAUUUCUUUUGCUGUAAAAAAGCCUGAGGAAGGUGGCUUGAGAUUCGUCUUAAGUGUUUAUAGCCUCUUGCCUAUGCAGUCGGAGAGAUUGAGGUCUGCAGCGUAGAUCCUUCGGGGCUAAAUGCAUUUGUGCUAAGUUAUAGCAUUUUAUAGACAACUUGUUGACUAUGAUUUGUCUUGUAGCUUACUCGCUUAUGUUAUUUUACCUACGCUUAGGAUGUUGAUCUGUAGUGCGUGCGC
rnacentral:rRNA from 1 species